GAAGAACCACACGAACGUUAUUCGGAAUUACUGGGCUUAAAGGGUGCGUAGGCUGUGCGGAAAGUUAGGUGUGAAAUCCCCCGGCUCAACCGGGGAAUUGCGCUUAAAACUACCGUGCUAGAGGAAGACAGAGGUGCGCGGAACUUCGGGUGGAGCGGUGAAAUGCGUUGAUAUCCGAAGGAACACCGGUGGCGAAAGCGGCUCACUGGGUCUUUUCUGACGCUGAUGCACGAAAGCUAGGGGAGCAAACGGG
rnacentral:rRNA from 1 species